rnacentral:rRNA from 1 species
GACGGAGGGUGCUAGCGUUGUUCGGAAUUACUGGGCGUAAAGGGCUCGUAGGCGGCCAACUAAGUCGGACGUGAAAUCCCCGGGCUCAACCCGGGAACUGCGUCCGAUACUGGAUGGCUUGAAUCCGGGAGAGGGAUGUGGAAUUCCAGGUGUAGCGGUGAAAUGCGUAGAUAUCUGGAGGAACACCGGUGGCGAAGGCGGCAUCCUGGACCGGUAUUGACGCUGAGGCGCGAAAGCCAGGGGAGCAAACGGG